AUUGGACCUCACCACCGGACUCUAGUGGCUGCGCGAGCGUUUCUCUUUUCUCUCAGCGCCGCGGACGAGAUUUGUGGCGCCAGAAACACCCUGCGGAAGGAGCCGGGGAUAUCGACUCGUGAUAGAGAAGACGAAACUGAGGCCACGGGCGGGUCCUGCGUUAUUUUUGCCUGAGAAACGUGGACUGGGAACAAAAUCAAGGAGUGGAAGAGUCAGAACCUUGUAACUCAGUGAAGGAGACACCAAACUAGGUAGAUGCAAGUGCCAUGAGGACAGGGACAGACGUUUCAGCUGACCUGGUGCCACUGCGCACCACCUUAAGCCUAAGAAGCUGCAGAGAAGAUGGGAGAACGGGGGUGAGCUCAAAGCUUUGCCCUUUGCCGCUCGGUUCACGUGUAAUGGCACUGUUGCUGCUGCUCAUCAUCAAAGCUAAAAUACAGAAUCAUUUCUUGAAGCAACGUCAACUGGAAUAUCCCAUUACUGAUGACUGGUCAUAAAAUCCUUGUCUCCUCAGUGAGGUACACUUAUUUCAGCUAUAGAAUGAUUAAUUUGUAUACAUAUAUAUAUAAAAUCUAGAAGAUUAGCUUUACUUGUAUUUCAUUAUUUUAAAUUUAGUAACAUUGUUUCAUCUUUUUUAUAAUGUCUUCUAUUUAUGGCAGUUAAAUGCUAUUCAUUUUUAGAUAUUGCAAUAAGGUAUUUUUCAAAAUUUUUAUCUAAAUAAGAGUCAAUUUAAAGAAAAAAGUAAAUGAUAGUACAGGUAUAUGCAUAUAUGACAAAAACUGUGAAGUGCUAUUCAAAGAAGUCCAAUUAGUCUCUAGUGGAAUAGGGAUCGCCUAUCAAGAUGUGGCUUAGCCUCAGUGAAAUAAAGCCAGGGGUCAACCAAUGAGCUCCAUCACUCCCUGACACUGUCUGCAAAUAUUAUACAGGUGUUUUUUUCUCAGGAAAGGAUCAAACUUUCCCUCAAAUUCUUAAAGGAAUCUGUGACCCAAAUGUGAUCACUCACAAACUACUACUGUGAUUCAGUUCUUUUUGCUCCAAUUCCAUUGCUCACUAAGGAAUCUUCUGUUUCCUAAUUUACUAAUAACACUGAUUACUAAUUUGCCAGGUCCCUUGACUAAAGUAAGGCAGUGUUCUGGAUACAAGAUUCAAAAGGUCCGGCUAUUGGAAAUACAGACCUCACUUAAAGUGAGUAAAUUGACAUCUGGUUUUCAAAUUAAUCUCUUA